rnacentral:rRNA from 1 species
CGGAGAAGGAGCCUGAGAAACNUUUUANNACAUCCAAGGAAGGCAGCAGGCGCGUAAAUUACCCAAUCCUGACACAGGGAGGUAGUGACAAUAAAUAACAAUGGCGGGCCCUCAUGGGUCUGCCAAUUGGAAUGAGAACAGUUUAAACCCCUUAUCGAGGAUCAAUUGGAGGGCAAGGUACGUUUCCAUUCAGUGUCGAACGACAGCAACAUCAACAGNAACAGCAACCACAAGACCCGAUUGCAGGACGACAGUCUCUCACACCAUACCUUUUCUCUUCAUUUUACAGCCUGGUGCCMGCAGCCGCGGUAAUUCCAGCUCCAAUAGCGUAUAUUAAAGUUGNUGCAGUUAAAAAGCUC